ACCGGUUUCCAGGACCCAUAGGGAGUUUACUACGACUUUUACUACACCGUUUUACCAAGAGAUUGUAUAUCUAAGAGCACGCAAGUAAUAAACGUAACACAACACAAAAUAAAACCCGCCAUAAAAAUUAUACUCCAUACUCAAAGAAUCAAUUGAAAACGUACGCACAAAAACCCACUAUUGUAUUUAACAAACAUUUAAUUUUAUAUUUCUGAUGUCACCCCCACAGCAACUUGAGUAAACACAUUAUUUAUCACUGAAUUUUAUUUAUAUAUGCCAGUUUAAUAUAAGUUCAGUGUAACAAUAAGUGUAGCAAGACAGUGAAUAGAAGUUCAGUGGUUUUCAAGAUAAAGUUUUGAUAUUUUUAUUAUUUUUAACGAAUUUUUGUUGAAUAUAGGAACGAUAAAAAUAUUUUCAAAAUCGAUUAAACAUAUUUCUAUCAAAUAAUUAUUUUAUAAUAAGCGGAAUACUGUCAAUUCACAACAUGAAAGAUGAUUUAAUAAGAAACUUGUGUUUGGCUUAAAUAUACAAUCAUUAUAAUCAUUAUUAAUACAUAUAAAUAAAAUGAUGUAAUUAGAGUUGACGCCAAAAAUUGAAAAAACAUACUGACCACUCCUGUACAUCAGCAUUUAGCAUUGGCGCCUAAAGAUCAGACGUGGAUAUUUUGUUGGCAUAAUUCGAUCUAUAUAUAUUAUCUGAAGAAUAUGAUGGUCGCUUGGCUUUCUCAUAUUGGCAAAUCUCAUAACACUAUUAUCGAAUUGAAAUAUUAUUCAAACAAAUUAAAAUAUAUCUGUAUGAAUUGUAGUUCAUAGUAAUAUUAUAGAAAUAUAUUUUAUAAGUAAUAAUGAUUAUCACUGUUAUGUAUUUUUUAUUAUAAUGGAACAUUGUUUGAAAACAUUAUCAUUUUAUAUCUAUACUCAUUACUAGAACUAAAUAUCAGUGUUUAAAUUAUCUAACUUAAUUUUUAUGUUAUCCAGUUAUUUCAAUGUCUGUUCUGAUUACGCUUAUUUUAAGAGAUCUUCAAUUCACUAUUUGUAUUAUACUACAUCGUGGUAAAAUGAAUGACACAUAAAUAUAUAAAAAUAAUUUAAUUUUUAAGCACGAAAACUGUAAAGUCGUAAAUAAUGUUUAUUUAAAGUGAGGGGACAAGAAUAAAUUGUACUAACACUCAAAUCAUAGCAUUUUCGUAAAAAAAUAUUAAUAUUAUUGAAUGUACUGAAUACAAAAUAAUUUAAAAUAAAUUAAAAAUUGUAUACAUGUA